rnacentral:rRNA from 1 species
AACGAACGCUGGCGGCAGGCUUAACACAUGCAAGUCGAGCGCCCCGCAAGGGGAGCGGCAGCCGGGUGAGUAACGCGUGGGAACGUACCUUUUGGUUCGGAACAACUCCGGGAAACUGGAGCUAAUACCGGAUACGCCCUAACGGGGAAAGAUUUAUCGCCGAACGAUCGGCCCGCGUCUGAUUAGCUAGUUGGUGAGGUAACGGCUCACCAAGGCGACGAUCAGUAGCUGGUCUGAGAGGAUGAUCAGCCACACUGGGACUGAGACACGGCCCAGACUCCUACGGGAGGCAGCAGUGGGGAAUAUUGGACAAUGGGCGCAAGCCUGAUCCAGCCAUGCCGCGUGAGUGAUGAAGGCCUUAGGGUUGUAAAGCUCUUUUGUCCGGGAAGAUAAUGACUGUACCGGAAGAAUAAGCCCCGGCUAACUUCGUG